GACAGAGGGUGCAAGCGUUGUUCGGAAUUACUGGGCGUAAAGCGUGCGCAGGCGGUUGUGCAAGACAGAUGUGAAAUCCCCGGGCUCAACCUGGGAACUGCAUUUGUGACUGCACGGCUAGAGUGCGGCAGAGGGAGAUGGAAUUCCGCGUGUAGCAGUGAAAUGCGUAGAUAUGCGGAGGAACACCGAUGGCGAAGGCAAUCUCCUGGGCCUGCACUGACGCUCAUGCACGAAAGCGUGGGGAGCAAACGGG
rnacentral:rRNA from 1 species